rnacentral:rRNA from 1 species
AAGGAAUAUUGGUCAAUGGACGCAAGACUGAACCAGCCAUGCCGCGUGAAGGAUGAAGGUCCUCUGGAUUGUAAACUUCUUUUAUCUGGGACGAAAACGGGAUUUUUAUCUCAAUUGACGGUACCAGAGGAAUAAGCACCGGCUAACUCCGUGCCAGCAGCCGCGGUAAUACGGAGGGUGCGAGCGUUAUCCGGAUUUACUGGGUUUAAAGGGUGCGUAGGUGGGCUUAUAAGUCAGUGGUGAAAUCUCCGAGCUUAACUUGGAAACUGCCGUUGAUACUAUAGGUCUUGAAUUAUCUGGAGGUAAGCGGAAUAUGUCAUGUAGCGGUGAAAUGCUUAGAUAUGACAUAGAACACCAAUUGCGAAGGCAGCUUACUACAUAUAAAUUGACGCUGAGGCACGAAAGCGUGGGGAUCAAACA